rnacentral:rRNA from 1 species
UAUCUCUGUAGAGUCUGCAUAUCAAUAAGCGGAGGAAAAGAAACUAACAAGGAUUCCCUUAGUAACGGCGAGUGAAGCGGGAAGAGCUCAAAUUUGAAAUCUUCAAGGUUCUACCUUGACGAAUUGUAGUUUAAAGAAGUGUUUUCUGUUAGAUGAGUAGUAAAAGUUCCUUGGAAUAGGGACAUCAUAGAGGGUGAGAAUCCCGUAUUUGGACUAUUCAUUUCUAGCUUUGUGAUACACUUUCAAAGAGUCGGAUUGUUUGGGAAUGCAGUCCAAAAUGGGUGGUAAAUUUCAUCUAAAGCUAAAUAUUGGCGAGAGACCGAUAGCGAACAAGUACCGUGAGGGAAAGAUGAAAAGAACUUUGAAAAGAGAGUUAAACAGUACGUGAAAUUGUCAAAAGGGAAGCGUUUGACACCAGUGUUGUUUUUCCAAAAAUCAAUUACGAAUGGCUUGAUUUUGUGUUGUAUUGACCUUAUCAGCUUUCUCCACUUUUUUCGAGUCUUUCUUAAUGCACUUUUCGGUUAACAAGUCAACAUCAAUUUCUUUUGUUGUAAAAGAGUAUUCGGAAGGUGGCUUUCUUUUCGGAGAAAGUGUUUAUAGCCCUAUACUUCUACAAUCGGAGAGAUUGAGGUCUGCAGCGUAGAUCCUUCGGGGUUAGAUACACUUGUGCUAAGUUGUAGCUUUUCAUAGACAACUUGUUGACUAUGUUUAGUCAUGCGGCUUACUCGCUUGUGCUAUUUUACCUACGCUUAGGAUGUUGACUGAUAUGUAGUCGUA